rnacentral:rRNA from 1 species
GGCCUUUUGGUUGUAAAGCACUUUAAGCGAGGAGGAGGCUACUGGUAUUAAUACUACUGGAUAGUGGACGUUACUCGCAGAAUAAGCACGGCUAACUCUGUGCCAGCAGCCGCUGUAAUACAGAGGGUGCGAGCGUUUAUCGGAUUUACUGGGCGUAAAGCGUGCGUAGGCGGCUUUUUAAGUCGGAUGUGAAAUCCGUGAGCUUAACUUAGGAAUUGCAUUCGAUACUGGGAGGCUAGAGUAUGGGAGAGGAUGGUAGAAUUCCAGGUGUAGCGGUGAAAUGCGUAGAGAUCUGGAGGAAUACCGAUGGCGAAGGCAGCCAUCUGGCCUAAUACUGACGCUGAGGUACGAAAGCAUGGGGAGCAAACAGGAUUAGAUACCCUGGUAGUCCAUGCCGUAAACGAUGUAUACUAGCCGUUGGGGCCUUUGAGGCUUUAGUGGCGCAGCUAACGCGAUAAGUAGACCGCCUGGGGAGUACGGUCGCAAGACUAAAACUCAAAUGAAUUGACGGGGGCCCGCACAAGCGGUGGAGCAUGUGGUUUAAUUCGAUGCAACGCGAAGAACCUUACCUGGUCUUGACAUACAGAGAACUUUCCAGAGAUGGAUUGGUGCCUUCGGGAACUUUGAUACAGGUGCUGCAUGGCUGUCGUCAGCUCGUGUCGUGAGAUGUUGGGUUAAGUCCCGCAACGAGCGCAACCCUUUUCCUUACUUGCCAUCGGGUCAUGCCGGGAACUUUAAGGAUACUGCCAGUGACAAACUGGAGGAAGGCGGGGACGACGUCAAGUCAUCAUGGCCCUUACGACCAGGGCUACACACGUGUUACAAUGGUCGGUACAAAGGGUUGAUACCUAGCGAUAGGAUGCUAAUCUCAAAAAGCCGAUUGUAGUCCGGAUUGGAGUCUGCAACUCGACUCCAUGAAGUCGGAAUCGCUAGUAAUCGCGGAUCAGAAUGCCGCGGUGAAUACGUUCCCGGGCCUUGUACACACCGCCCGUCACACCAUGGGAGUUUGUUGCACCAGAAGUAGGUAGUCUAACCGCAAGGAGGACGCUACCACGGGGCUG